rfam:Metarhizium majus ARSEF 297 Scaffold_95, whole genome shotgun sequence.
UCUGGAAUCGUCUAACAGGAAGGACAUAGAUUUUUGAUGUCUACAAGUGAGUGUUCGAAUCACUCUUCCAGAA